rnacentral:lncRNA from 1 species
UGCAAAGUAGCAAAUUAAAAUUUUCAGCAAUCUAUUGUGUAGCCUUAUGUAAACUCAUUAAUUGAGGAAGGAUAAAGAUAUACCUUUGAAGCGUGUCAACCUUAGAUGAAGACUUCAAAUUUCAAUCUUUGCUCCUUCGCGAUUUCUCCAAUCCUCGAAUCACAUGUUCGUCACAAAGUGUAUGCAAUGCCCAAGAGGUAUCCACAAAGAGAAAUAGAUUGAAGAUGUGAUUUAGAUUCUACAAGAUCAGAUCUUGGGUGGCU